rnacentral:rRNA from 1 species
UACGUAGGGAGCAAGCGUUGUCCGGAAUCAUUGGGCGUAAAGCGUGCGUAGGCGGUUCGUUAAGUCUGUUGUGAAAGCCCCGGGCUCAACCUGGGAAUGGCAAUGGAUACUGGCGAGCUAGAGUGUGUCAGAGGAUGGUGGAAUUCCCGGUGUAGCGGUGAAAUGCGUAGAGAUCGGGAGGAACAUCAGUGGCGAAGGCGGCCAUCUGGGACAACACUGACGCUGAGGCACGAAAGCGUGGGGAGCAAACAGG